CCAGGCACUCUGCUUAGCACGACAAAUAUUACAACCUGGGAGGGAGAAGAGGAGACAGCAAAAGACAGAGCUUCAGGCAUUAUGCUACAUGUAAGGUCAGGAAGGAGCCUAUGAAGAAGGAGUAAGAGUGGUUAGAGAGGUAGGUGGACAACCAUGUGAUGUCCAUGAAGCCAAGGGAAGAGAGAAUAUCCAGAAGAAUCAUCAAAGUCUGAUGGCAAAACAAAAGAUAAGUAGCAAUGGCCUGGGAUGCAGUGGAUGACCUUGGUGUCUUUGAUGUCUAGCCAAGUUCAAAGUGCUCCACAAUGCCUGCUCAGCCACCUUCAUGGCCUGUUGGCCCAAAUUGUUCUCACCACCCAUUCCAUCAGGGGAAGUCUUCACAUGCUUGGGGUAGACAUCCUCCUAACUCUCCAACUGGUUUAAGGCCUGUAGGUUACCUUCAACCUGGCUUAGCCCAAUUUAUGGGAUGAUUUUACCAGAGUGUGGCUGCUGCACAUGUUACAGCUUCUUGGAGCCCCAGGCAAUCAGGGUUAAGUGACUUGCCCCAGGGUCAC